CAGCCGCCGCGGUAAUACGUAGGGGGCGAGCGUUGUCCGGAAUUAUUGGGCGUAAAGCGCGCGCAGGCGGUCCUUUAAGUCUGAUGUGAAAGCCCACGGCUCAACCGUGGAGGGUCAUUGGAAACUGGGGGACUUGAGUGCAGGAGAGGAGAGCGGAAUUCCACGUGUAGCGGUGAAAUGCGUAGAGAUGUGGAGGAACACCAGUGGCGAAGGCGGCUCUCUGGCCUGUAACUGACGCUGAGGCGCGAAAGCGUGGGGAGCAAACAGGAUUAGAUACCCUGGUAGUCCACGCCGUAAACGAUGAGUGCUAAGUGUUAGAGGGGUCACACCCUUUAGUGCUGUAGCUAACGCGAUAAGCACUCCGCCUGGGGAGUACGGCCGCAAGGCUGAAAGUUAAAGGAAUUGGCGGG
rnacentral:rRNA from 1 species